ACCUCCAGGAACGUUUUCGCUUGUCCAACUCCAACCGAUUAACAGCAUAGCAUGGUCACUGGGAUAUGGCAUUCUGUUGAUAUGUCUAUUAAUUUGCACAAAGUUUGUCACUUCCAACUCAAACAUUAGUAUUCAUUGUCUCUACUUUGGGAGAAGAAAAAGAGAGAAAAAAAAAAAAGAGUAAUACUAUACCUAAAAGCAGAGCAAUUUUGGCACUGCCCCAUUCGUUAAUGGUUGGAUCACUCUUCAUUAUCUCAGUGGCCAUGUCUCUCAUCAAAGGAUGCAUCUUCAAGCAAUCCACUCCAUCAUUCACAACACAAUCCAGUAAACAAGCCUUCUCGAGUGCUUUGAGUAUGAGGAUAGAGCAAUGCAAGAAGCUGGUCUUCCACCUUUCAUUUCUCAAGCCAUAAAAACUGCUUUUCAUUACCUCAAAAACCUUGCCAUCUG